AUUUUGUUGAAUGUGUUACUUAAUCUGAGUUUGAGCUAUUUGUUAUCGCUUGCAGUUAUUUUGGCAAAGAAUGUGUUUUAAUGAACUUCAUGCGUUUAUAAAUUAUUCUUUUCCAUUUCAUAAUAGAUGGAUGCCACCACACCAAAGUACUCCAAGGCUAGAUAUGAUGAGAUUGUGAAGGAGGUUUCUUCUUACCUGAAGAAAAUUGGAUACAAUCCUGACAAGAUUCCCUUUGUUCCCAUUUCUGGUUUUGAAGGUGAUAACAUGAUUGAGAGGUCUACCAACCUGGACUGGUACAAGGGUCCAACCCUUCUUGACGCCCUUGACAUGAUUCAGGAACCAAAAAGGCCCUCGGACAAGCCUCUUCGUCUUCCUCUCCAGGAUGUCUACAAGAUUGGUGGCAUUGGAACUGUCCCUGUUGGACGAGUUGAAACUGGUAUCCUCAAGCCUGGUAUGGUUGUCACUUUUGGUCCAACCGGUCUUACAACUGAAGUCAAGUCAGUCGAAAUGCAUCAUGAGGCAUUGCAAGAGGCCUUCCCUGGUGACAAUGUAGGGUUUAAUGUUAAGAAUGUUGCCGUCAAGGAUCUCAAGCGUGGGUUUGUUGCUUCCAACUCCAAGGAAGAUCCUGCCAAGGAGGCAGCUAGCUUCACAUCACAGGUUAUUAUCAUGAACCAUCCCGGUCAGAUCGGCAAUGGAUAUGCACCUGUGCUUGACUGCCACACCUCCCACAUUGCUGUUAAGUUUGCUGAGCUUCUCACCAAGAUCGAUAGGCGGUCCAGU
rnacentral:lncRNA from 1 species